AAGCUGGAUUCGCUAGUAAUCGCGCAUCAGCCAUGGCGCGGUGAAUACGUUCCCGGGCCUUGUACACACCGCCCGUCAAGCCAUGGGAGCCGGGAGCGCUUGAAGUGCGUCGCCGCGAGGCGCGCCCUAGAGCGAGACCGGUGACUGGGGCUAAGUCGUAACAAGGUAGC
rnacentral:rRNA from 1 species